rnacentral:rRNA from 1 species
GCAAGCGGACCUCAUAAAGUGCGUCGUAGUCCGGAUUGGAGUCUGCAACUCGACUCCAUGAAGUCGGAAUCGCUAGUAAUCGUGGAUCAGAAUGCCACGGUGAAUACGUUCCCGGGCCUUGUACACACCGCCCGUCACACCAUGGGAGUGGGUUGCAAAAGAAGUAGGUAGCUUAACCUUCGGGAGGGCGCUUACCACUUUGUGAUUCAUGACUGGGGUGAAGUCGUAACAAGGUAACCGUAGGGGAACCUGCGGUUGGAUCACCUCCUUACCUUAAAGAAGC